GCAGUUUCGCCCGCGUAUUUAAACGAAAACCUUUGCAUCGAAGCGAUUUUAUAUUAUGAUUUUUGUAUCUGGAGAGAAGUAGAAGCCGGGAGUGUUAAUAUAGGCUACUCUUAGCUGCGGUAAAGAGUGAAUUUUCCUAUGACCACGCGGGUGAAGCCGCGGGCGCAGAGCUAGACGCUAGUGAAGUAUGUAUGGACUAUGGAGUUACUAAGACAAAAAUGUACUGAGCGGAAAAACAGACAUAUGUAAAGGACGUGGAAAGUGAUGAUAUUAAUAUUAACAAUUUUAAUAUUAUUAUAUGUAGGUAUAAUAUAUAUUUUUAAUUACCUGGUGAAUAACUCGUUAUGAUGGGUGAAUAAUAAGUGUAGAAAAAAUUGUUUUAA